rnacentral:tRNA from 1 species
GGGGUUGUAGCUCAGUGGGAGAGUGCAAGACUUGCGCUUGUGAGGCACUGGGCUCAAUCCUCAGCACCACA